AAUAAAUAUUUUGUAGAAUGCUUUGAAGCUUAGGCAAUUAGUUCUUUUUAACAAAAAUUAAUUUAAUUUUCUUUUAAGUUCCAGGAUACCUGUGCAGGACAUGACAUGCAGGUUUGUCAUGUAGGUAAACAUGUGCCAUGGUGGUUUGCUGCACCUGUCGACCCAUCACCUAGGAGGAAAAAAUUGGACACGGAGAUAAGGACAGAGGAAAGAUGAUGUGAAGACAGGGGCAGAAGUCAGCCAUCUACAAGUCAAAGGGAGACAUGUGGAACAGAUUCACCCUCACAGCCCUCAGAUGGAAGCAACACCACUAACACUUUGCUCUUGGACUUCUAGCUUCCAGAACUGAGAGACAAUAUCUUUCUGUUGCUUAAGUCAUUCUGUCUGUGAUACUGUGUUUAUGGCAGCCCUGGCAAACUAAUACAGUCCCACAAAGAUUUGGUUGUUGCUUUGCAAGAGAAU
rnacentral:lncRNA from 10 species